GAGCCUUAAAGGGCAGAGCGGGAAGCCUUUUCCAGGACCCCGCCCAGUUUAGAAAAUCUGUUUGCAUGGCAAAGGCCCGGUGGUUUAGGACAGGGUAUUAAAGUUAUUAGCAAGUCUUUUUGUAGAUAAGUGGGGCUCAUCGGCCGGUCCCCUCCCCUGCGGAGAGCCUCGCCUCGCUCUCGGAGCCCAGGAGUGGCCUACAGUUUAUUAGCACCUGGGUGUGAAUUUUCAUUAACACGUUCGCGUUAAUAAGCGAGAGGCCUGGAGGUGGGCAGGGGGCGCCUCCUGCCCCUCCAGCACCGCCUCCCUCUUCCUGGACUGACCCCCCCUCGCACCCACCGGCGGAGGACUGUAAGCAGCGUCCUGGUACUUCUGGUACGUGGCCUUGAAGAUCGAUGCCUGCUGAUCCCACUGACUCUCCUUGAUGAAGUGAUUCUGCCCGGAGCCCAGCCCGCAGCAGUCCUCUAUCUUGGCAAAGACCUCCAGGGGAGUUUUAAAUGCAGUACCUAGGUUGAAGACAUUCCAGCAUUGUUCAAACCACCGGACUGCCUCCUUCCUGGUUUCCCCUCAUCCCCACGCUUCACACUUUCCUGCAGGAUCCCUCACACUCAGAGAUCUGCUCUCGCUUUGCCCAGCCGUUCAGUCUUCUCCUAGCCUCCCGCCCCACCAGCUCAUGGAGCAGAAGCAAAGGGCCACUGCUCUCGCUCCUCCCGCUUCUCCGUCUCCAAACCGCCAGCACUCCGUUUCCAGACUACAGAAUCUCCAAAGGCCAAGGAAGUGGCAGGAUGAGCUCGCAGACCCCCAAGCCAUGGACCACCUGACCAGAGGAUUGUAAAUCAGAGACAUCCUGAUUCCCGAAACUGUGAUUAAGACAUGUCACAGAAAUGUCACAAGAUGAUGAUUAAUGCCAGUUUCUUUGUUCUCCUUUAAAAUACCCCUAACCCAAAGAACAAGACAGAGUAGUUCUGAGAUUUUCCUCCCAUUCCCUUGCUUGGUGGUUCUGCAAUAAACACUUACUAUGCUGCAAACACCUGCUGUCAGAGUUUGGCUUUCUGCACCUUGGGCACAACAGCCCUUGCUCAGUUACAAAGAGAUCAAGCAUCCAAUGAAGUAAAAUUCACAAUGCCUAAGAUCCAAUAAAAACAAAUUACCUGGCAUGCAGAGAAGCAGGAAACCACAAGCCAUAAUACAGAGAAAACUCAGUCACUUGAAGCUGAGUCAUAAUUAACAGAUAUUAGACUCAGCAGGCCAAAAACCAAGAGGAAAUGCUGUAUAUGAUAAGUAAAGAUGUGGAAAUAUUUAAAAACACACAACUGAACUUUUAGGGAUGAAAACUACAAUGUCUCAGAUGAAAAAAUGCAAUGAAUUCGAUUCAUAAAAAGAUUUCAAAACAAGACAAAUUAAAUGUGCCAAAGAAAAGAUUUGUGCACUUAAAAACACAGCAACAGAAAUAAAAUGAAACAAAGAGAAAAAAAAAGAAAAAAAAUAAAAGAGUGACAUGUGGUAUAAUCUGAAGUAGCCUAGUAUAAGUGUGAUUGAAAUCCUCAAAUGAGGGAAGAGAUUUUUUUAAACAGUUGUAGAAAUAAUGGACAAAAAUUUUCAAAUUUUGAUGAAAACUCUAAACCCACAGAUUCAAGAAGAAAAACAAAUCCUAAGCAAAUUACGCAUGAAGAAAUUUAUACCAAGGCACAUCAUAAUCAAAACUAGUGAUAAGAUAAAGAGGAGUUCCUGUUGUGGCUCAGUGGUUAACGAAUCCGACUAGGAAC